rnacentral:lncRNA from 1 species
UGUAUUUGCUAAACUCGCUGCAUCAGAUAUGCCGAAAUUUCAAAGGCAUACAGGUUGCUUAACUUAGACUCAAAUACAAUAGUUGAGUCUAGAGAUGUUGAAUGUAUAGAAAAUAAUUCUAUAAUGAUUCAAGGUCUGUACAAGGAAAUGACCAAGCGCUUUGUCUCAAAGAGAGAAAAGAAAACAUUCUCAAACUGUUACUGCACUUAGAAAAAAGGCAAAGAAUAAGAAAAGAAAAGACUCUAGGUCCAUAUUUUAUUUCAUUUCAAUCUAUUGUAUUUUUAGUAGAAGGAGACAUGAAUUAAGUUCUAAAUAAAAUACCCAUUGUAUUGAAUGUAGAAGAUGAUCUAAAAGGCUAAGCGAAGCAAUGGCUUCAAGAGAUGCCGCCUUAUGGAAAGAGGCAAUAGAUAUGAGAUGGAUUCAUUAAUGUCAAACCAGACAUGGAUUUUAGUAGACUUGCCACAUAUGGCCAAGUCAAACCUUUAAAGGAAAUGCAACACAUAUGGCCAAGUCAAACCUUUAAAGUUGGUUUCUAAGGGUUUUAAACAGAAAAAGGGAAUAGAUUACUUCGAUACUUAUGCACCAUUAGUGUUUGAGCAAAAUUCCUCAGUGGAAUAUUCACAUGUAGAUUCUUUGACCUUUGAACUUCCUUCUCUUCCUUCUCUUUCGAAAAAGGUACGACAUAGCUAAAAUGGUCGCAGUUUUCUCUACGGUAUGAGAGAACUUGGUGGCCACAACCGUGUGUGGUGGUGGCCGCAGCUAAGAGA